UGCAGAGAUAAUCAGUUUUUGUAAUUAAAUUUACCACAGGAUAAUGGAUAUAAUAUCGUCAUAUAAUCGUCAAUAAUUACAUGGGAUAGUUUCGUUUACUCACCACGUCUGACGUACCUACCUGAUGACCGGGUGUCUGUCUGCCACUGUGCUCGUCCGCAACCAUGGCUAGACCGGUUGCACUUUGUCACGGACCUCGCCGGAAACAGUGACCGCAAUUUUUACAGCUGGUGUCUGUUGGUCAGCCACGAAGAUGAAUCACGAACACGCAUAUAUGUACAUCUUAAUUCCGAGACAUUUAGCAGUUUCAAAAUACUUUAUCAAGACAUCUGGAUGGUGUAUUUGAAACCAGCACAGUUCUGGCUAAACCGGGAAAUAUAUAGUAAUUUUAUCUUAGCUAUAUAAUUAAUAA